rnacentral:rRNA from 1 species
GAUGAACGCUGGCGGCGUGCUUAACACAUGCAAGUCGAACGAGAAGUGGAGACGGAAACCUUCGGGCGGAAGACUUUAUUUCGAGUGGCGGACGGGUGAGUAACGCGUGGGUAACCUGCCUCAUACAGGGGGAUAACAGUUGGAAACGACUGUUAAUACCGCAUAAGACCACAGCACCGCAUGGUGCGGGGGUAAAAACUCCGGUGGUAUGAGAUGGACCCGCGUUCGAUUAGCCAGUUGGCGGGGUAACGGCCCACCAAAGCGACGAUCGAUAGCCGAGCUGAGAGGAUGACCGGCCACAUUGGGACUGAGACACGGCCCAAACUCCUACGGGAGGCAGCAGUGGGGAAUAUUGCACAAUGGGGGAAACCCUGAUGCAGCGACGCCGCGUGAGUGAAGAAGUAUUUCGGUAUGUAAAGCUCUAUCAGCAGGGAAGAAAAUGACGGUACCUGAGUAAGAAGCCCCGGCUAACUACGUG